rnacentral:tRNA from 1 species
GUCCUCGUAGCACAACGGAUAGUGCAACCGCCUCCUAAGCGGUAGAUUCAGGUUCGACUCCUGACGAGGACACCA